AGUGAACGCUGGCGGUAGGCCUAACACAUGCAAGUCGAACGGCAGCACAGUAAGAGCUUGCUCUUACGGGUGGCGAGUGGCGGACGGGUGAGGAAUACAUCGGAAUCUACUUUUUCGUGGGGGAUAACGUAGGGAAACUUACGCUAAUACCGCAUACGAUCUACGGGUGAAAGCAGGGGAUCUUCGCACCUUGCGCGAUUGAAUGAGCCGAUGUCGGAUUAGCUAGUUGGCGGGGUAAAGGCCCACCAAGGCGACGAACCGUAGCUGGUCUGAGAGGAUGAUCGGCCACACUGGAACUGAGACACGGUCCAGACUCCUACGGGAGGCAGCAGUGGGGAAUAUUGGACAAUGGGCGCAAGCCUGAUCCAGCCAUACCGCGUGGGUGAAGAAGGCCUUCGGGUUGUAAAGCCCUUUUGUUGGGAAAGAAAAGCAGCAGGUUAAUACCCCGCUGUUCUGACGGUACCCAAAGAAUAAGCACCGGCUAACUUCGUG
rnacentral:rRNA from 1 species